GAUGAACGCUAGCGACAGGCUUAACACAUGCAAGUCGAGGGGCAGCGGGGGCGAAAGCUUGCUUUCGCCUGCCGGCGACCGGCGCACGGGUGAGUAACACGUAUGGAACCUGCCCUAUGCAGGGGGAUAAGCGGAAGAAAUUCCGUCUAAUACCGCAUAACACCUUUAGGAGACAUCUUCUUGGGGUCAAAGGAGGCGACUCCGGCAUAGGAUGGCCAUGCGUCGCAUUAGCUAGUCGGCGGGGUAACGGCCCACCGAGGCGACGAUGCGUAGGGGUUCUGAGAGGAAGGUCCCCCACACUGGUACUGAGACACGGACCAG
rnacentral:rRNA from 1 species